rnacentral:rRNA from 1 species
UACGGGAAGGGCAAGCGUUAUCCGGCGUGACUGGGCGUAAAGAGUCCGUAGACGGUAAAGGUAAGUUUAUUGUUAAAUGUUAAAACUUAAUUUUAAUAGAGCAAUAAAUACUGCUUUACUUUGAGUUUAAUAUAGAAAAGUAGAAUUUUAUAUGGUAGGGGUGAAAUCCGUAGAUAUAUAAAGGAAUGUCAACAGCGAAGG